CUUAACCUCCACUAUCAGAUACCACCCAUGGAACCCUAGCGUCGCCGCCAAAUCCUCCACCCUUUCCGGUGGUGCCGCCGCCUCCAAUCCACCUCAAAUCAAUACCCCAAAUGCCUCAUACCCUCCCCUUUCCUAAUCCAUAACUCAUUUUCCUCGAAUCUUUCCACAACUCUUCGAAUCUUAAAUCAAAUUUCUGAACCCUAAAAUCUUAAAACCCCAAAUCAGUGAGUUUAAUGAAGGGUUGGGGUCGAAAUUGAUCUUAUUCGUGUGUUUUUGUUUGAGAACACACGAUUAAGGCCCAUUUCGGUCAAAAUUGAAGGCUCGAGGGUUAAUUUUAGAAUUUUGUCCGCCUGGUUCUUAGGUAUUUUCAGCUUUCUUUUUCUUUCUCUCUUUUUUCUUCUUCUUUUUUUCAUUUAAAUGCAGUGUUCGUAUCUUCUCACUUCGUUUCUUCUAUUUUGUCUCUACUGUUUUUGUUUUUGAAUCAUUUUUGCUUGCAUGCUUUAAAUUAAAGUUAAAUAGUUCAUGUUUGUUCUAAUUUCUUUGUUUCUUUGGUGUUAUUUCAUUUUUUUUGGUUUUCAAAAGAAAGGAGUUCUGAGUUUCCCUUGGAAAAUCCUGCUUGGCUCAAUAAAUUAAGGUUUGAAUAUGGGUUCUGCUAAGCAGAGGCCCGGGAAAAAGGAAACAACCCGGGUCUUGCUAGCCUAGGAUUGGGUUUGAACCAUUGGGUCAACUUGACCCAUUUGGUUCCAAGGGUAAAAACAGGGGUCCUAAGAGUUAAUUUAGAAAUUAUAGGUGGGGGAAUCUUAUGUAACUGAAUGGGAAGCUUCCUAGAAGGUCAGGGUUGGGACUAAACUGAAAAACUGAUUUUUAAGCUAAGGAUCGAAGAGCAAAAAUAAAAAUUCAAAAAAUAUUAAAGUGAAAAAGUGAAUUUAUUUUUCUGCUGCCUAAGGCUUACCUAUAAAGGCAUUGUUUCUUCACUCAUAAGUCAAAGAUUAGAGACUAAAAAUUCUGGAAAAAAAUGCAAACGACUGAGCUAAAAAGAACUUCAAAACUCUUGCAUUUUGGUAGAAAUUGAUCUAAUUCUGCAAAUUAGUGUUUCAAUCAUGAAACCUACGAAGGGUUUCUAGCUUAUUCUAGGAUUCAAAGAUGGUUUAAAGGCUGACUGAUCACUGUUUCAUUGCUGAUUUUUGAGUUAUUUUUCUGAUGUUACUUCCCCUUCUGUUGAUUUACUGUUGAUGCUGCUUCCUCCUGAUCUCAAGCUUGAUUUUCUGGUUUUGUUUAGCUAUAUUCAGGUAAAUGUUCCUUAACCUUAUUUAAUGUGAGGUUUGAAUUGAAGAAUGAAAUGGAAAAAUAGAGUUUGAAGCAUGUCCUCAAUUUUGUUUAUGAAUUCAAUUGUAUUUCUUCAUUGUAUGGUGUUUUAAUAGCCUGAUUCGGUGUAUCUUCUAAUUAAUUUUUGGUUUGGAUAAUGGAGUUUUUAUUCUUAUGUUAAUUUGGGACUGUUAAGAUACUACAUUAGAAGGUUUAUUCCAGUUACAUGACCAGCUUUAUUCAUUGAAAGUCGGCAUUUAUCAUGGUGUUGAUUUCAUAUUGAACUUGAAAUAUGACCAGUGUAGUUUGCUAUUUGAAGGGUAUUGUGAUGUGUUCGAAUAUUGCUGUGACGUUUUAUUGGGAAAUAAGGUUUUUUUGUGAUGUAUGAUCAUGAACCCAUGUUAAGAAUAGUCUAAUUUGCUUAUUAGUCUUGCUCAAGAUUUUUGGUCUGUUCACUGUGUAAUAUCUUGUGAAAUGAGGGUUUAAAUCUUGUAACAGUUUCGAGCUUUGGGUUUGUUAGUCGUGAAGGACAGUCCGUGUUGUGCUUAGUAUACAGUUAUUAUGAAUAAAGAAAAAUGACCUAAGAUAUCAAUUUAAGAGUACAGGCUAUACUGAUUUACUCUUGGUUUGAUUAUGAGCAUGUUUAAGUUGGAAUUGGUGUUUUAAAUGUUAGAAUGUUCAGCUAGAUGAUUUGUGCUUAAACAGUUAAAAUUCAUAAGUUGUUAUGAAAUCUCCUAUUUAAGGUGAAUGUCUAUAAUUAGAGAGAUUCUAGAGUUC
rnacentral:lncRNA from 1 species